GGUUAAGCUAGAAAGGGCGCACGG
rnacentral:rRNA from 1 species